GACGAACGCUGGCGGCGUGCCUAAUACAUGCAAGUCGAACGAGCUCUCCCAAAAUUGAUUUUAUGCUUGCAUAAAUGAUUUUUUGGAUUCGGAGCGAGUGGCGAACUGGUGAGUAACACGUGGGUAACCUGCCCUUAAGUGGGGGAUAACAUUUGGAAACAAAUGCUAAUACCGCAUAUGAAUUAAAACCGCAUGGUUUUAAUUUGAAAGAUGGCUCUGCUAUCACUUUUGGAUGGACCCGCGCCGUAUUAGCUAGUUGGUGAGAUAAAAGCUCACCAAGGCGAUGAUACGUAGCCGACCUGAGAGGGUAAUCGGCCACAUUGGGACUGAGACACGGCCCAGACUCCUACGGGAGGCAGCAGUAGGGAAUCUUCCACAAUGGACGAAAGUCUGAUGGAGCAACGCCGCGUGAGUGAUGAAGGGUUUCGGCUCGUAAAACUCUGUUGUUAAAGAAGAACAAGUGUAAGAGUAACUGUUUACGCUUUGACGGUAUUUAACCAGAAAGCCACGGCUAACUACGUGCCAGCCGCCGCGGUAA
rnacentral:rRNA from 1 species